CCCGCUCCGCUCGCCCGGAGAGCUCAUCCGGCGGCUGCUUUGCUUUAUCUAGUCCAACGCCUUUAUGUAACUUCAUUACGAUCAUCACACAGCAACCUAACCUGUCUACAGGAAUUAUGAGCUGCAACUGCAGACCCCGUAUGAACUCUUUUGCUCAAUUGAACCUAAGAAGCUUUUUAUGGAAAGAUUUUUUUUUUCCUUAAAGCUCACACAAGGAGCAAUGGAGCAUGAUAUGCCUUUCUUCACAUUAAGUCUUACAGUCCUUACUAAGAAGAUACUUCACCUAGCUGGAGUGAAGCAGCCCAUAAACAGAAUUACUUCUCAAUAAAAUAAAAUAAAUAAUAAAUUAUCCCUCAA